rnacentral:misc_RNA from 1 species
AAGAGUAGUUUUUACAACAACUCCAAACCCAUGUGAACUUACCUAUGUUGCCUCGGCGGGGGAGCCUACCCUGUAGGAGCCCCGCCGAUGGACCAUUAAACUCUGUUUAUUUUGUAACUUCUGAGUGUUUAAACUUAAUAAGUUA